CCCUUAGAUGUCCUGGGCCGCACGCGCGCUACACUGACAUGUUCAACAAGCCUCCUAGUUCGACAGGAUUUGGGAAAUCUUUGAACGCAUGUCGUGAUAGGGAUAGAUCAUUGCAAUUAUUGAUCUUGAACGAGGAAUUCCUAGUAAACGCGAGUCAUCAGCUCGCAUUGAUUACGUCCCUGCCCUUUGUACACACCGCCCGUCGCACCUACCGAUUGAAUGUUUCGGUGAAGAUUCCGAUAGGACUUUUUUGAUUUAUUUCAAUUUUGUCUUAAAAGCUAUCUAAACCUCAACAUUUAGAGGAAGGUGAAGUCGUAACA
rnacentral:rRNA from 1 species